rnacentral:lncRNA from 1 species
UGAGAAGGCUGGCCUGAAAGAGCAAGCUGCGUGUGCAGAGACCACUAUCAGAGGCUUUUGAUUAGAGAAGUGAGGCCUUUUCAUAGGCAAUAGUUUAUUGAGCGCUAGCACAAUUCCUGGAAAUUUCCUAAAUGUCAGAAACCCCUAAACAUUUCAGAGUACUUUAUACAGAUUGGCUUCUUUAUUUCCCAUAUGAGUUUAGUUAGAUUCUGAUCCAUGGUUUGGAUUUGGUCUUUAAAUCUUAAGAACAGUGGGAAGUCAUCAAGGGUUUGAAGGAGAGAACAGCAAAAUUAGAUGUGAAUUAUAAAUAUUUCUCCUCUAGGAUAAAGAGCAGAUGUAAGCGUGUAGUGGGCACAAAGGCACAAGCUUGGCAGGCUGUUGUAGAUGGGUCAUCUGUAUAAUGGAUAGUGGAAACUGGUAAAUGGGUUAAAAAGAUGGGGUCUCAGUUUCCCCAGGAAGCAGCUUGUUCAUAGGUAGGUAUUUAGACUGAAGAAUAAAAAAUUUGAAGGGCGCUGUCAUUGUUUUUAGCUAGAUGAACUAGGUGUUCAAUCUGUGCCCUUUUGUGGGAUAAAGUAAAGUAAGUGUGAAAGGAAAUGGGCAUGGACUUUGAUUCCAGUUUGUGUCUAAUAUUAAGAUAAUUUUCCGUACUUUAUUGAAAAUUAUUAGCUUUAGCCUUAUUCGGCACUGGUUACUUAUUGAGGUGAGCCUGUGUUUUGAUAGUGUGUUCCUCUCAGUCUCAGUCUGGUAACAUCUACCAUUGCCAGAUCUUCUGUUACUUGCUUCCUGCCUGAAGGUUAUGCAGCUGUGUUUAGUACAGUAAUGAUGAGAGGGAGUGUGUGUGUUUCCUGGUUGUCAGCUUUGGUUCAUAAAUGGCUUUUGUCUUAAACCAUUACUUUGACCUAUGUACAAGGCCUGUCUCCUGAAGCUUUUUU